AACCUCCGCAAUGUGAGAAAUCGCGACGGGGGGAUCCCAAGUGCCAUUCUUAACGGGAUGGCUUUUCAUUAGUGUAAAGAGCUUUUGGAAUAAGGGCUGGGCAAGACCGGUGCCAGCCGCCGCGGUAACACCGGCAGCUCUAGUGGUAGCAGUUUUUAUUGGGCCUAAAGCGUCCGUAGCCGGUUUAAUAAGUCUCUGGUGAAAUCCUGUAGCUUAACUGUGGGAAUUGCUGGAGAUACUAUUAGACUAGAGACCGGGAGAGGUUAGAGGUACUCCCAGGGUAGAGGUGAAAUUCUGUAAUCCUGGGAGGACCGCCUGUUGCGAAGGCGUCUAACUGGAACGGUUCUGACGGUGAGGGACGAAAGUUAGGGGCGCGAACCGGAUUAGAUACCCGGGUAGUCCUAACUGUAAACGAUGCGGACUUGGUGUUGGGGUGGCUUUGAGCUGCUCCAGUGCCGAAGGGAAGCUGUUAAGUCCGCCGCCUGGGAAGUACGGUCGCAAGACUGAAACUUAAAGGAAUU
rnacentral:rRNA from 1 species